UCAUGGGGAGAAAAGGAGAAAGAAGGUAUAUGUUAUUUAGCUUCCAUCACAGUGGGGAAUGUGAGGUUGCCGGAAAAACAAGAUGGACAUGCUGUCUGCAUUGGUGAGGACUCGGAGGGAGUGCCGUGAGUGCAG